rnacentral:lncRNA from 1 species
CUCCCACCAUAUUCACAUGAAAUACCAAACUAAUCAAAUUCAAUAAUAACCGUAUUAAGAUCUUGUUUCUAAUACUGUUCACCCCAUAUACCACUGGUAACCAAGUUUUUACCAGUUUUUUUGUGCGAAGAAUUAUCAGACUUUCCAUCUGCUACUGCACCAUAGUUCAUCACGUCGAAGAAUUUCGGUGCUAAAGGAAACACGAAAAAACAACAAAAAUGUAAGAACAAUUCCAGAGCCAGAACUCAAUGCCAUUUCUUAAUUCUUGUGUUAUGCAAGGAACGCUUUGAAGUUUAUAUUGGUCCAUAUCAUAUCAUGUAAGAUUUUAUUGAUAUUAAUUGAUCUCCCUUUUUAUAUCACGUUCGAUGCAGUUUUAAAGAAAGUAAAAUGCUGAUGGAAACGUAUAAAUGCAUGCAACAACUUUAUUUUUUCCAUCAAAUUGCAUGAAUUUGAUCAAUUUAUUGCUGCUUUACACAUUAUAUUUAAUUAUUUUAAAGUUGGUAAAAUUGGAAAAAUUUGUAAACCACUUAUGAUUAUGCUUUUUUCUACACAUUCGGUAUCCUGUCUCUCUCAUUCGGUAUCUUUGACAAGAUUCUAAUUCUAAUUCAAAUUGUAUUAAAAGUGGGAUAGUCUAGUUCGUUUUAAUUAGUUCUUAUUACAAGAGUCCCUUGACUUUGUAACUACUUUUAAUUUGUAGAAACUAUCUACGUUACUCAUAAAAAGGAACAUAAAGAGAAGUUUUUGAGUAAGCUAAAAGAACAAAUUUUAUAACGUGGGCGAAUUUCAUUUCGCUAUCCCUACCAUUAUCGAAAUUUUAAUUGAAUUACUAAAUUUAAAUUUAUCUCGAUUGAGUUGUUCAAGUUUAAUACGAUAAUUGAUAUUCCACUUAAUUGCUUCAUGACACCCGAAAAAUUGAAAAUGUUAUAAAAGAAGGGUUACGACAAUAUUUUCAAAUUAAAAUUGUUAAGGCAUAUAUGCUUGCAACAUUUAACAGGCAGUUUAGUGAAAUUGAUUGAUUUUAUACCACUUUUAAUUUUUUCAAUAGUUCAUGGUUGCAUAAAAUUGAAUUUUACUGUGAAAAAAAUUAGCAAAUUUCAAAUUCUCUUCCUUUUUGCGCUUGGAUCAAAUCGAUGUCAGUUCAUAUGAAACCACAUUACAUUGUUGAUACUGUUUCGACCUAACUAAAACCUGCCCUUUGUUGACUAAAACUCUUCAAAAAGAUACCAAUACUAUGCUUUACAACACAAAUGUCAACAAUGUCAUGCUGUUCGUACAUAAGCCAGUACUGUUUUUGUUCACUCGUAGAACCAAAAAAAAUAAAAAUUAAAAAGAAUUAAAUCCAUGCUUGUGUAGAAGAAAGAGGGAGCAUGGUCCCUAGUCUCGUAUUUUGCUAGGCAUGAUUCCUUAUUGUAUGAACGUGUUUAUUGGACAAAUCAAGACAAUGGUCACAUGAUGUAUAUCAAAUGUAUCAUUGCAAUAUUUGAAUUAUUCUGUUCAAUAAUGUGUAUACUUUUGAAAAUAGUAAUUAUUAUUUCUAUUUUAAAAUCUAGGACAUGUUUGGAAAUAUUUCUUCAUAAUAUUGUGACAAAGGAAUUUUAAGAUUUGAUGGGAUCUUAACUCAUCAAACGGUCUUAAGCAUGCCCACAGAGAGUCACAAUGAUGUCCCAAGGAGGAAUCAAGCACGAUAAAAAGUACCAGAUGAAGGGAUUCUUAAAUGAAUUAAUCUAGUUGUACAAACUUUGUUUGCAAACUAUUUUGAAAUGAUUGGCUUAGAUGUUGCCAAAACAUAAUCUGUAAACCAAGUUUCUCAACCUAAUUUAUAUAAAUAAUAUAAUUCUUCUUGAAUCACAUCAGAGGUUUGAACUCGACUCAAAUAUUCAGAAUUCAAAUCCCU